UGGGGAAUAUUGCACAAUGGGCGCAAGCCUGAUGCAGCCAUGCCGCGUGUAUGAAGAAGGCCUUCGGGUUGUAAAGCACUUUCAGCGAGGAGGAAGGGUAGUGUGUUAAUAGCACAUUGCAUUGACGUUACUCGCAGAAGAAGCACCGGCUAACUCCGUGCCAGCAGCCGCGGUAAUACGGAGGGUGCAAGCGUUAAUCGGAAUUACUGGGCGUAAAGCGCACGCAGGCGGUUUGUUAAGUCAGAUGUGAAAUCCCCGCGCUUAACGUGGGAACUGCAUUUGAAACUGGCAAGCUAGAGUCUUGUAGAGGGGGGUAGAAUUCCAGGUGUAGCGGUGAAAUGCGUAGAGAUCUGGAGGAAUACCGGUGGCGAAGGCGGCCCCCUGGACAAAGACUGACGCUCAGGUGCGAAAGCGUGGGGAGCAAACA
rnacentral:rRNA from 1 species